rnacentral:rRNA from 1 species
GCAGCUUGCUGCUUUGCUGACGAGUGGCGGACGGGUGAGUAAUGUCUGGGAAACUGCCUGAUGGAGGGGGAUAACUACUGGAAACGGUAGCUAAUACCGCAUAACGUCGCAAGACCAAAGAGGGGGACCUUCGGGCCUCUUGCCAUCGGAUGUGCCCAGAUGGGAUUAGCUAGUAGGUGGGGUAAAGGCUCACCUAGGCGACGAUCCCUAGCUGGUCUGAGAGGAUGACCAGCCACACUGGAACUGAGACACGGUCCAGACUCCUACGGGAGGCAGCAGUGGGGAAUAUUGCACAAUGGGCGCAAGCCUGAUGCAGCCAUGCCGCGUGUAUGAAGAAGGCCUUCGGGUUGUAAAGUACUUUCAGCGGGGAGGAAGGGAGUAAAGUUAAUACCUUUGCUCAUUGACGUUACCCGCAGAAGAAGCACCGGCUAACUCCGUGCCAGCAGCCGCGGUAAUACGGAGGGUGCAAGCGUUAAUCGGAAUUACUGGGCGUAAAGCGCACGCAGGCGGUUUGUUAAGUCAGAUGUGAAAUCCCCGGGCUCAACCUGGGAACUGCAUCUGAUACUGGCAAGCUUGAGUCUCGUAGAGGGGGGUAGAAUUCCAGGUGUAGCGGUGAAAUGCGUAGAGAUCUGGAGGAAUACCGGUGGCGAAGGCGGCCCCCUGGACGAAGACUGACGCUCAGGUGCGAAAGCGUGGGGAGCAAACAGGAUUAGAUACCCCUGGG